CGGAAGCGAUGCGGCCCAUCUGCAAAUUCUCAAGCACGGUCAACUGCGGAAAGAUUCCACGUCCCUGCACGAUCGUCGUGACCCCUCUGCGAGCACGCGCAUGUGCCGGUAAUCGGGUGAUGUCUUCGCCGCCAAGAAAGAUGCUGCCUGACGUAGGAAUGUUGAGCCCCGACAGAGUACGAAUCAGCGUGCUCUUUCCCAUACCGUUGCGCCCGAGUACG
rnacentral:misc_RNA from 1 species